UACGUAGGUGACCAGCGUUGUCCGGAUUUACUGGGCGUAAAGAGCGCGCAGGCGGUCGUUCAAGUCGAGUGUGAAAGCCCCCGGCUCAACUGGGGAGGGUCAUUCGAUACUGAUCGACUUGAAGGCAGGAGAGGGAAGUGGAAUUCCCAGUGUAGUGGUGAAAUACGUAGAGAUUGGGAAGAACACCAGUGGCGAAGGCGGCUAUCUGGACGGUUUCUGACGCUAAGACGCGAAAGCGUGGGGAGCAAACAGG
rnacentral:rRNA from 1 species